GUUGAAACUGCCGCAUUAAAUAUCUGGCCACCCAAGGAAAGUCUGCACUCCUAAAAAUCAUCCCCAAUUAGUCCUGGAGGCUGUAGACGGGAUUAAAUCUGGAGCGGGCCACGGGUUUUAUUGCAUCCACUGAAAAUGGAUAUUUAACAAAUCGUUGAACACAUUUUUAUGUGGCCGUAGGCUGUGGCAAAGAAGAGCAGCGAAAUUCAUAAGGCUCACUGCUACACGUGGGUGGGAAAUAUAUUUUAUGAAAAAAAAAUCACAGACUGCACUUUCUUCUUUGCAGGGGUUUUAGGAUAGCGAGAGGACAGGAGGUGAUUGUUGGAGGAGGAGGAGG